rnacentral:rRNA from 1 species
GAUGAACGCUGGCGGCGUGCCUAAUACAUGCAAGUCGAGCGAACAGACGAGGAGCUUGCUCCUCUGACGUUAGCGGCGGACGGGUGAGUAACACGUGGAUAACCUACCUAUAAGACUGGGAUAACUUCGGGAAACCGGAGCUAAUACCGGAUAAUAUAUUGAACCGCAUGGUUCAAUAGUGAAAGACGGUUUUGCUGUCACUUAUAGAUGGAUCCGCGCCGCAUUAGCUAGUUGGUAAGGUAACGGCUUACCAAGGCAACGAUGCGUAGCCGACCUGAGAGGGUGAUCGCCCACACUGGAACGGAAACACGGUCCAGAGUCCUAAGGGAGGCAGCAGUAGGGAAUCGUCCGCAAUGGGCGAAAGCCUGACGGAGCAACGCCGCGUGAGUGAUGAAGGUCUUCGGAUCGUAAAACUCUGUUAUUAGGGAAGAACAAAUGUGUAAGUAACUAUGCACGUCUUGACGGUACCUAAUCAGAAAGCCACGGCUAACUACGUG